GGAUUGUGGCUCAGCAGGUAGAGCACUUGUCUCACAUGCGCAUGACCCUGCGUUCGAGCCUCAGCACCA
rnacentral:tRNA from 1 species